GUGCAGCAGUCGCGAAAACUCCGCAAUACGCGAAAGCGUGACGGGGCCAUCCCGAGUGCCGUCCGCUGAGGAUGGUUUUUCCCUAGUGUAGAUAGCUGGGGGAAUAAGGAGAGGGCAAGUCUGGUGUCAGCCGCCGCGGUAAUACCAGCUCUUCGAGUGGUAGGGAUGUUUAUUGGGCCUGAAGCAUCCGUAGCCGGCUGGACAAGUCCUCCGUUAAAUCCAGCGAUUCAAUCGUUGGAUUGCGAGGGAUACUGCUCGGCUAGGGAGUGAGAGAGGCCAGCGGUAUUCCCGGGGUAGGGGCGAAAUCCUAUAAUCCCGGGAGGACCACCAGUGGCGAAGGCGUCCGGCCAAAACGCGCCCGACGGUGAGGGAUGAAAGCUGGGGGAGCGAACGGGAUUAGAUACCCCCGUAGUCC
rnacentral:rRNA from 1 species